CAUUGGUGAAAGUGCAGCCUCAA
rnacentral:misc_RNA from 1 species